GGGUGCGUAGGCUGCGCGGAAAGUUGGGUGUGAAAGCCCUCAGCUCAACUGAGGAAUUGCAUCCAAAACUGCCGUGCUUGAGGGAGACAGAGGUGAGCGGAACUCAAGGUGGAGCGGUGAAAUGCGUUGAUAUCUUGAGGAACACCGGUGGCGAAAGCGGCUCACUGGGUCUCUUCUGACGCCUGAGGCACGAAAGCUAAGGUAGCAAACGGGAUUAGAUACCCCGGUAGUCUUAGCUGUAAACGAUGAGCACUUGAUUGGAGGGUCCUCCAUAGCCUUCCAGUCGUAGCGAAAGUGUUAAGUGCUCCGCCUGGGGAGUAUGGUCGCAAGGCUGAAACUCAAAGAAAUUGACGGGGGCUCACACAAGCGGUGGAGGAUGUGGCUUAAUUCGAGGCUACGCGAAGAACCUUAUCCUAGUCUUGACAUGUAUGGAUUAACCCUGUGAAAGCAGGGCCACGCCUUCGGGUGGAACAUACACAGGUGCUGCAUGGCU
rnacentral:rRNA from 1 species